CGUAGGCGAUGGGAAACAGGUUAAUAUUCCUGUACUUGGUGUUACUGCGAAGGGGGGACGGAGAAGGCUAUGUUAGCCGGGCGACGGUUGUCCCGGUUUAAGCAUGUAGGCUGGUUGUCCAGGCAAAUCCGGAUAAUCAAGGCUGAGGUGUGAUGACGAGGCACUACGGUGCUGAAGUAACAAAUGCCCUGCUUCCAGGAAAAGCCUCUAAGCAUCAGGUAACAUCAAAUCGUACCCCAAACCGACACAGGUGGUCAGGUAGAGAAUACCAAGGCGCUUGAGAGAACUCGGGUGAAGGAACUAGGCAAAAUGGUGCCGUAACUUCGGGAGAAGGCACGCUGGUGUGUAGGUGAAGCCCCUGCGGGUGGAGCUGAGACCAGUCGAAGAUACCAGCUGGCUGCAACUGUUUAUUAAAAACACAGCACUGUGCAAACCCGAAAGUGGACGUAUACGGUGUGCCGC
rnacentral:rRNA from 13 species